CAGGGGAGAUUUAGGUUGGAUAUUAGGAAAAGGUUCUUCCCCCAGAGGGUGAUCGGGCACUGAACAGGCUCCCCAGGACCGUGGGCACAGCACCAAGGCUGCCAGAGCUCAAGGAGCAUUUGGAUGAUCCUCUGGGGCACCUGGUGUGACUGUUGGGGAUGGUCCUGUGCAGGGCUGAGGGUUGGACUGGAUGAUCCUUUUGGAUCCCUUCCAGCUCAGUGUAUUCUGUGAUAAUUUGUACAUUACCUCCAGAGCCCACUUGUGCCUCUGCUCGAGGCUUGUGCUGAAGCAAAGCUCUUGCUGGGGAAAUGAAGGGGUUUGACAGCCCUGAGGAGGGAGGCAGGGCCAUCUCCCUGCAGCCCAGAGCUGCCUGCAAGUGAACAAUUCCUCUGUGAACUUGUCCUGGUGCUUGUUCUGGUCUCCACCCACUGCAAACCACCGUUCACCCCAGGCCACCAGCUCCUGGAUAUCUUCAUGCCAUUAACAUGAUGGUCUGGGCUCCUUUGCACCUCUCCUGACAUUGCUGAGAUGUUUUGGAAGCUGGUGCUGGUUUCUCGAUAGAUGCAGUGUCAAAUUUCUGAAUUUCAGAUAUUUUUAGAGCACCCAGGCAAUCUCUUUGCUUUUUAGAAGCAUUUCUGGGCCACAGGCAGGUGUUUUCCCUGCAGAUCCUCAACCCUUCCUCAUCUGCCACCCUCCCCAGAGGCACGGAGGAGGCCAGCUUGCUCCAACAGAUUGGAGGAGAACAUUAUUUAUUUGUAAAGGUCCCUGGCUGCAGCAAGGAAGAGCAGGGAGUGACACUGGGGACUGGCACAGCACGGAGCCAGCUGGCAUGGGAUGCCCUGGAGCAAGAGCUGCUGGUGACAAAUGACGUGAUUUUGCAGAGUUUGGCUCUUUCUGAAGGAAAAAGCAGGACUUUGUGGUGGUCCCUGUGGUCCCUUUGUGCUGGGAAGCUAGGUUGGGUGUGUGGUGAGGCCUGGCUGCUCUUGGAGCCCACAGUGGGGUCAGGGAAUUGGGAUCUGCUCUUGGCUUGACUAUUAGUCCCUGUCUACCCUUGUGAUGUGUCCUUGUGUCCUUAGGUUAACCUGCCUCCUGGGAGGAUGGGAGGAGGAUUUGGGAAUGAGAGCUCCCACAGCAUUGCAUGGAUUUGAGGGGUGGGGGCCUCCUGAGCUGUGCUCUGCAGUCCCAUCUCAGCGCAGGUCACCUGCUGUACCCAGCUCCAAGCACCUGGUGCCUUCAAGGAACUUUAAGCCACCAACCCAACACCCUCCACCUUGUCUGACAAGCUCUGUGAAGCAUCACUUGCCAGAUUUAUUCUGCUCCUGAGAGCACUGGUGUCUCCAGAGACCAGUGGGAUUCAGUCCAAAGGACCCUACGGAUAUGGUGACCGAUGGAGGGAGGAUCCACCUGGAGCAAGACGAGUGGAAUUUGCAGUGUGGUUGUGAGUGAAGGAUUGUCUGGAGUCCUCAUGCCAAGGACACCUCCUGCAGGUGAUUGAACACCUCUUUAGGUCUAGACCUUGCUCUUUCCUGGGCUUUUAAACUUCAAGCUAGAGGGAAGAAAGGACUGGAUUUAUACAGCUGUCCCUACUAAGUGACCCUCAACUUCCUGGUUUACGAACCACCUCUUUACAGACAGCCCAGCUCUUCACCGAGCUGAAUCAAAGCUGGAUGUCUUAGUGUUUAUUGGCACGAUUUAGGGUGCUGCAGCUUCCUAUCAAAACAUGUGGCUGUUGGUGCAGGGAACCUAUUCAAUCCUUCAGUCUUGGAGAGUCUCUCCUGCGCCACCUUCCACGUUUUUCUCCAAGGCUGGUGACUCCAGGAGCUCUGAGUGUGUGGGUUUGGGUGUCUCGGUCACAGAACGAGCUGCUCCACGCUCCUGCAUUUCCGAGGUGGGGUGGAACUCACCUCUUGCCCUCUGGUAAUGACAUUUCACAGGGUGAUGUUAUGUCCAGGUGGUUAAACAGAGGGCAUUUGAGUUGCAAAACGAAGGUGGGUCACAGCAGCACCUGCUGCCCUUCCUGUGGGGGAAGAUUUCUGCUUUGCUGGGAGGCCACGGAAACAAACCCACCCUUGGAGAUACCACCCUGCUCCCCCACCUGCAGCCAAGCAUCAUCUCCAGGCAUCAGAGGGGAAGGUUUGCAACCAAAGCCACGGCUCAGGUCCUGGAUCUGGAGGCGAGACUCAUUUUCCUGGAGUUGGCACGGGGUUGGGGUGGACGCUCUGUGCUGGGGAGAUGGAAGGCAGAGAGGGAUGUGCUGUUGGUCCCCAGGGAAUGACGCCACAGGUGGCAAUGGGCCAGUUGGUUGUGUAGGUGCCCACUGGCUCUGCAGACACUUCUAGCUCAUCCAAAAAACCGCAGUUGCAGAAGCACUCUUUGCUGCUGGCCUCUCCGUUUCCAGGGGCAAACGGGGGCGAAUGGCUCUUCUCCAAUUUCCAGUCGGACCAAAGCACUCCGAGCCGAGCGAACCGCGCACAAAACAACUUCUCCGGGAAGAAAAACACUUAUUUUCCCACCCGAAAUACAUAUCUCUGGCUAAUGCUAAUUGCAUAUCUGUGAAUAAUGCUAAUUGCACGCAACCUCUGGGAAGACAUAUGUGGAUAAUAAUACCUCGGUCUUCAAACAUCCUCUUCAGAAACCUCAUGAAUAUGACUCAAAUGCCUCAAUUUUGUCCCUUUAAACACUCCCCGCUCUAUCACGAGGCCAACGAGCGCGGCGGGGGGCGGAGGAGCCUCUUUCCAGCGGGCGAUGUAGGUCAUGCUCCAGUUUUUCUUUCUCCAACAAGCAGCUGUGGGACCUUCCUCCUCCCAAACCUCUUCAUGCCCAGAUCCAGGAGUGCAGCGCCAUGGCUGAUGGCACUAAGUCGUGGUCUCACCAGUGGAGAAGGGCUGGAGCUCACUGAGAACCUUCUUCAGCCCGUGGAUGUGGAUAUUGGUGCUGGCCAGAUGUUGGGCUUGGAAGACUUGGCCACAAAAGUUGGGUUUUUGGGUCAAUAUGGGAAGAGGGGUUGGGGGAUAAGUAUCCCUUCUGAGGGCUGCUUCUAUGCUGAGGGGUGGGACCACGAGCGUGUGGCCGUCUGGGUGGCCUCUGUUUGUCCCACGUGUGUCUCUCCAACUCAAGAGAUUUGCUUUUCCAGAUGUUCUCCAGGACCUUCCAGAAACGAAGCUCCCCGUUUUGGUGCUCCCCACCCACGUCUCUCCGUGCCCCCCAGCUCCCAGGGAUGCUCAGGGAGGUCCCUCCUCACCCCUGUGGUCCCUUCCUGGCCGUGUGACCCCUCCGUGGCGGUCCCGGGGGGACGUACGGCUCGUUCCUGGGAAUCUGGCUGUCUCCAAGGCUGUGGGAUGUUCACUCAUGGGACUUCUUGCUGCAGGAUGCUCUGGAGGACAAAUUGGACUUCACCAGCUCGUGGAGAAGAGGUUUCCAGGGGAUUUUAAGCCUCGUGGUCUGGAUUCAGCCUCCAGCAUCCCUGUGCCAGGACGUGCUGAAAGCCAGCAAUGAGUUCUUAAAGCCAGGAAGAACAUCUCCUCACUCUUAUUUUGUGCUUGCAAGCUUCUCCAUCUCCUCUUGGCCUCCUUCAGAGGUGUGGGAAUUGCUGAUCCCACCUGGAUGUCUCACAAUAUUCCUCAUCAUGCAUCAUUUGGGUGUCCCCUGGUGAUGGGAGAGCAGCUGCUUCUUCCAUUCGCUGUCCGGAGGCAAAACUAACAACAGCAAAGCUCAAAAUUUGGGUCAAUGUGAACUGUAUCUUUAUUAGGGGGGGGAAAAAAAUAAUAAUGUCUCAAGUUUCCAUUUUGGGUCAGCAGGUGUCAGAGGACCUGCCAGGAAAAACAUCUUGUUGAAAAGAAAUUAAUUUAUUUGUGGAAACCUCAUUUUGUUUUGAAGAAAUCAAAGGCAGGCGCGUCAAGGUUUGGAAAGACUUUCAACUGUGCUUUUCUCUUGCUGUGUCAUGGAAAAAGAAAGCCGGAUUUCUGCUGGAAUUCUGUGAUCUGGGUCUGAAAGUGCCUGUGAGACCCAGAGGAGCUGCUUCCUCCCAGGUGGGACGUACUCGUGUCCAACAUUUACUGCCCUCACCGUGGUCUAGUGGCUGAAUAAUCCCCUCCAAAGCUGUUCCCAGCUGCAGAGGGGAGCAAGUGGAGCCUCUUAACUCUGCUUUUGUAGAUUGGGCUCAUUCCUCUUAAUUAGUGGCGCUCACUAAUGAGCAGCCACCCCUUCAGCGAAGCCAAAGGAGGGGCAAAGGCUGUAUUAGAAGCCCUGUGGGGCAGCUUGGUGUCUUCUCCUUGCAUGGGAGAAGAAAAUGUUGAUGCAGAUGGAAAAUCUUUUCCUAUUUUCAGCCUCUGGAGGUGAGGUAACCCCUUUCCCAUCCCCCCAUGGGUACCAUUGUCAUUUUUGUCGUUCCUCAGGUGAUGACCCCCCUGCAGAUGAUGCCUGGACGACCACAUUUGGGGCUCCACCUCUUUGACUGUCCUAAGGUGAGGCCCAGCUUGCAGGGAACGUGGGCUGGAUGUGCUGACUCUGAUGGGAUAAAGAUGGGACCCCUCUGUGUGUGGGUAACCCCAUAAACUUCACAGUCUGGAAGGAACAUGGAUCUGGAGGAGACCCAGGCCCAGGUCCUGGUGACGAUGUGACUGCUGGGAACGUGUCUCCUGGGGGGCCUAAAGAAGCAGAGAGAGGAAACAAAACCUUUCUUCUGCUCAUCUGCUUUGCUUCCUGGAAAUCUUCUUUUCCAAGCAGCUCUGCCCUUGCUGCAGCCCUGUCUUGGAGGCUUUCCAGCUGCUCUGAGAAGAAGCCUGGUCCAAGGUUAACAAGACUGAGUUGGAGCUGUGUGACUCUGCUUUCCUUGCUGCCCCAAAAUAGGUGGCGCCUCAGCUCGUGGCUGAGCAUCCCUGGUCCAUCGUGUCCUCCUGCCACUGACGCAGACGGGUCCAAGCCGAGCGCGCAGAGGGAGCCCGGGAUGGAUGGAGCGAUCCGACCUCCUUUCCCAGGCUCACCCCGGGUUUUAGCGAAGAGCUCUGUCACUGCAGGAGGUGGAGGGGGGGGCGCAGCACCGAACAAAUGCUUUGUGACAGCCGGGAGAUGCCGUGGCCUUUGCGAUGGAGCGGAGCUGACGGGCGGCACCGCUCCCUCUGCGAGCUGAGCAUCCCCUUCCAGCGCUGCUCCGCAGGGAUCGCGCCUGCGGAACGGAGCUGGGAGGCGGAGUCAGCAGAGGCCGACUGGACCCCUUGGAGAGGGGCUCGGACCCCCUGGAGCCCCCUUGGAGGAGGCCUUUUCGUGCAGAGUGCAAGCUACAUCCGUAGUUACUGCCCUGUUUUCAAACUUCGUUGCUGUUUUUAUCCCCUCUCCCUGGUGCUGGAUGUGGGUCCUGAGCCUUCUGCUGCAGCCGGUGCUGCUGGUGCUGGGUUCACCCCCGCAUCCUUGUGGAUCUGCAGCGGUUCUUGCUGGAAUGCAUACGGUUUGCAUCAAGAUGAAGGAACUCUCAGGGAUUUUUGGAGCAUCAGCAAGACAUGGGGCAGCUGGAGAGCAUUCCUGGCCAUCCACAGUCACGAUUUGGUGCAGCCUUUAAGGGUUCUCUGUUCCAUGGACCAUUGUGCUCAAACGGGAUGGGCACUGGGACAGCCACUUCGGGGCUGGGAGAUCUUCCCCUGGCAAAUCAGGGAGUUUUGGGAAUUUCUAACCAAGCAUCCCCCUUCCCUGGGACGAGCUGAGCCGUUCUGCCCCGAGCCCGUGGGGGCUGCGCUUGCCAGGGCUUGUGUUCCCCCCAGCACCUCCAGCCAAGCUCAUUUCCCCAGUUAAACGUUAUUAGUCCUUGAAUGAAAGGAGGAGGGAGGCAGAGAGGAAGGAUUUUUAUUGGGAAGUCGUUUGUUCCUUAAUUGAAUUGCUCCCGUUAACAGCGGUGAGAGAAGGGGAACAAAAAGCCAAAUGGGAGGUAAAGGCGCUUAUUUGCUUCUGCUUGAGAGGAGCUAAUAUUAAUAAACUUCUGGAUGAAGGGAUUUGUAAGGGUUUGAUAGAGGGAUUAACUCCAAAAUGAUGAUUAGAUUUUCUGGAGUAAACUCCCUGAUAAACAAGGGAGACAAGAUGCAGAUGUUAUCCCUGCACGGAGUGGGGUCCCUCCCAGCUGCCAGAUCUGGAGCAUGAAGGAGUCACUCCCUGCUCUGGGACAGGGGACUUCCUCCAGGUUUAUCCCAAAACCAAGCAGAGGUGAUGUCCUGGGCCCUUCCUAAAAUGCCUUGGUUGUCACUCACCACGAAGACACUGCAAACCUCACCUUGGGUGGAGGUUUGCACUUGGAAGAACCAUAUGCACUAAGGAGCAGGAUCUGGGGGCCACUGGGUGUCCAUCCUGGUGGUGACCCCACCAGCCAGGUCCCAUCCCAGGGAUGGAUGUUUGGAAAAACUGUGGUCUCCACGCAGCUUUUUCUGGGAGUACAGUCGGUGGGCGUUGAUGUUUUAGGGGUGUGGGAAGUGUUGGGUCAAACUUUCACCCUUGGAGAAACUUCUGAGCUCUUUUCUCUUGCCUUUUUGGCUUUCUUUUAAUGAAAUAUUUUAUUUCAGGCAUCUUGAUAGGCUACUGAUUAAAAAAAACCAACAGUUUGACUUUUGCCCUUUUAAUUAUUCUUAUAUUUUUUCUUAAUUUAAAAAUGAAUGUAAGCAGAGGAUACAAACCCCUGAAACAGAGCUGGGGCAAAUACACACACGUUGUCCCGAGGCAAAGAAAAUCCCUCUGCUUGUCUUCAACUCAUUUUUUUUUUCCUCUUUGAUUUUUCUGAAUCUUUUUUUCAACCCAAAUAUAUCUGUUUCCUCAAGUUUUUGUUUUUUUCCCUGGAUUAACUCUCCCUGCUGUUACCUAUUCCAUGUAGAGGUAGAUCACCCAACCCAGAGAUGUCCCAACCUGCUGCUGCACUUCCCAGCCCUGGAGAUGCAGAUCCCACUGGAGCUGAAUGGCUCCAUCCCAGCAUCAACAGGCAAUCUGGGCUGUUUGGAUUUCAUUCCACACACUUGUUUCCUUGGAGUGGAAUGUUUAAGGGACAGGGGGAAGAAUAAUCAUUCAGAGGGUUGACAUCACACUCCAAACAUCAUAUUUUAUCUGCUGUAAAUUAUGAUGAUCCUGUAGGGAAUGCCACCCAGGGUAGCAAUGCUUGGAUGCCUUCCCCCCUAGUUCCUGCUUUUGACAGUCUGAGCUUAAACUUUGCGCUCAGUUUAUGCAAAAGGAAACAAAAAAGUCAAAACCAGCCAAAAAAAAGUCCUUGUGGGAAGCUGGAGGUGCUCAGCCAAGGCAGGGGAGGGAGGGUAAAGGCAAAGAAGGAAUUUGGUUCCUUGGUCUCCCCAGGGGAUUUGAGGGCAUUGGGAUACCAGUGAGGCUUUAGGGGUGGGAUGAAGCUGAGAAACAGAAUGGGGAGAGGAUGGGCUUUACUGUUCCUCUUUCCCUGAAUUUACUCAUCAUUUUAAUGCUUUCAAACCACCCAGAACAAAACGUUUUGGUUGUGUUUUCUUAGGGUAGAGCAGAAACCUGAUCCCUCUGGGACGGGAAGAUAUCCCUCUUCCCUGUCUGAAUACUCAUCAUUCCCAACUUUAUCCAAGAGAACAAGUCUGCUUUCUCCUCCACAGCCUUUCUCCUCUCUCAUCCCUCCUCUGCCGUUCUCGCUGCCCGGGAAGCCUGGAGGAGACUUCUGGCAGCCAGGAUGGUUUAUGGCUGAUGAGGCCCUUCAGGGAGCCACAGCUGGGAAUGUGAGGGUGGCAUGGUCAUUUUUUUGGGAUGCUUCCAUGUCUUCCAGCUCUGGGUGUGCAGUGACUCACUGUGACCAGCAGCCGGUGACUCAGGGGCAGCUGCUGUGGGAUCCUCCAUAGGGAAUGGCCUCGAUUUGCUCCAGGAAGGAUGGAGGGAAGGUAGAGCCCAUUUCAUCACCUCUCAUGGCAGCCACAGCCCGCAGCCUGUGCUCACCAGUACCCCCUUCCCCAUCCCUGGAGACCCCAAAUGGGCAGCACGACACCCCAGCCCCUGGUGUUUGCUCCUGCCACCCUCUCCUUGUGCCAAGGUGUCCUCACCUGCCACCUGCCUUUGUCCCCAACAUGCCUGGCUUUGAGGAUGGGAGGUCUGGACCCCUCCUGGGCUCUCUCACGAUGCUGCCUUCUCCCAGAAUCCCAUUCUCCCUGGCUCAUCAAUCCAUUGGGCUGGAGGAGAACCUUUUCCAAGACUCCUUUCUCCACACAGUGGUAUUUAAAUCCUCUCCAUAUGCUGAAGUGAUGCUGAUGGAUGACAGGAGGACAUCACGGGAUGAAGACAAGGGUAUGGCACGUGCUCCUCCAUCCUGGAUCAGGCAGGAUAGGGGGAUUAUUGCCAUCUCAAACCUGCAGAUGUGUCAGAUCCUGCUCUUGCCAAGCAACCUCCAGGCUAUUUUUCUUACUAGUUCACAGGGUUAGCUAAUAAAGACAACUUGACUUGA